rnacentral:tRNA from 1 species
AGGAGUAUGUCUGACAAAAGAAUUACUUUGAUAGAGUAAAACAUAGAGGUUACAACCCUCUUACUCCUA